rnacentral:tRNA from 1 species
GGGGGAUAUGGAAAAUCCGUCGACUUUAAAAAUCGUGAGGGUUCAAGUCCCUCUAUCCCCA